GGGGUCGUAGUGUAACUUGGCUAGCACGGCAGGCUCCAGUGGCAAUUGUGGGUCUGCUGACGAAAGGAUGAUGACCUAUUGGAGCUGUGCUAGAGAGACCUGCAAAUCCGGGUUCAAAUCCUGGCGACCCCA
rnacentral:tRNA from 1 species